GAUCAUGGCUCAGGAUGAACGCUGGCGGCGUGCUUAACACAUGCAAGUCGAACGAAGCAACUUAUUACGAUCCCUUCGGGGUGACGAUUGUUGACUGAGUGGCGGACGGGUGAGUAACGCGUGGGUAACCUGCCUUGUACAGGGGGACAACAGUUGGAAACGACUGCUAAUACCGCAUAAGCGCACAGCUUCGCAUGAAGCGGUGUGAAAAGUUUUUCGGUACAAGAUGGACCCGCGUCUGAUUAGCUAGUUGGUGAGGUAACGGCCCACCAAGGCGACGAUCAGUAGCCGACCUGAGAGGGUGACCGGCCACAUUGGGACUGAGACACGGCCCAAACUCCUACGGGAGGCAGCAGUGGGGAAUAUUGCACAAUGGGCGAAAGCCUGAUGCAGCCGACGCCGCGUGAGCGAAGAAGUAUUUCGGUAUGUAAAGCUCUAUCAGCAGGGAAGAUAAUGACGGUACCUGACUAAGAAGCACCGGCUAAAUACGUGCCAGCCGCCGC
rnacentral:rRNA from 1 species